GAGAGAAUUAAUGUAAUUAAUAAAGGACUUCUAAUCUGUUUAUUGAGAAAUUUACGAUUUCUCUUCUCUUU
rnacentral:tRNA from 1 species